AUUGAACGCUGGCGGCAGGCUUAACACAUGCAAGUCGAGCGGAGAUGAGGUGCUUGCACCUUAUCUUAGCGGCGGACGGGUGAGUAAUGCUUAGGAAUCUGCCAUUUAGUGGGGGACAACAUUCCGAAAGGAAUGCUAAUACCGCAUACGUCCUACGAGAGAAAGCAGGGGAUCUUCGGACCUUGCGCUAAAUGAUGAGCCUAAGUCGGAUUAGCUAGUUGGUGGGGUAAAGGCCUACCAAGGCGACGAUCUGUAGCGGGUCUGAGAGGAUGAUCCGCCACACUGGGACUGAGACACGGCCCAGACUCCUACGGGAGGCAGCAGUGGGGAAUAUUGGACAAUGGGCGGAAGCCUGAUCCAGCCAUGCCGCGUGUGUGAAGAAGGCCUUUUGGUUGUAAAGCACUUUAAGCGAGGAGGAGGCUACUAGUACUAAUACUACUGGAUAGUGGACGUUACUCGCAGAAUAAGCACCGGCUAACUCUGUGCCAGCAGCCGCCGUAAUAC
rnacentral:rRNA from 1 species